rnacentral:rRNA from 1 species
UACGGAGGGUGCAAACGUUGCUCGGAAUCAUUGGGCGUAAAGCGCACGUAGGCGGUCUUGCAAGUCGGGUGUGAAAUCCCUCGGCUUAACCAAGGAAGUGCACUCGAAACUGCAAGACUUGAGUACUGGAGAGGGUCGCGGAAUUCUCGGUGUAGAGGUGAAAUUCGUAGAUAUCGGGAGGAACACCAGUGGCGAAGGCGGCGACCUGGUCAGAUACUGACGCUGAGGUGCGAAAGCGUGGGGAGCAAACAGG